rnacentral:rRNA from 1 species
CAUGUGUAAGCGAAGCGAUAAGUGGAGCGGUGAAAGGCUCAGUAACGGGCGAUUUAUUUGAUCUCCUGGGACGGACAACAUCGGGAAACUGAUGGGAAAACGUCUAAGUUGCAGUUUUUUUUUGAUUGCGACGUAAACCUUUUGGUGCAGGAGAGUAAGAUGCCAUCCUAUCAGUUAGUAAGUAGGGUAAGGGCCUACUUAGACGAAGACGGGUACGGGGAAUGAGGGUUUGAUUCCGGAGAGGGAGCCUGAGAGAUGGCUACCAGGACCAAGGUCAGCAGCAGGCGCGAAAAUUAUCGAAGCCCGCCUAGGGGCGAUAGUGAGGAGACGUGUAUAACGAAGUACGUGUAAAGACCGUACUAAUAACUGGAGGUCAAGUCUGGUGCCAGCAGCCGCGGUAAUUCCAGCUCCAGGGGUGUCUAUGAUGAUUGCUGCGAUUAAAAAGUCCGUAGUCGAGCUGACUGACUGACCUGCAAUGUGGUUGAUUAAAAGACGAGCAGGGUUAGGAAAGCAGAGAAUUAGGAGCGACCGAGGGCUAGAGUAUUGAAUGGCGAGAGGUGAAAUUUGAUGACCCAUUCAGGAGUGACAAAGGCGAAGGCACUAGUCAAGGGCGAAUCCGAUGAUCAAGGACGUAGGCUAGAGUUUCGAAAACGAUUAGAGACCGGAGUAGUUCUAGCAGUAAACUAUGCCGACACCGUGGUAUUAAUUUUUUAGUAUUGCGGAAGAGAAAUCAAGUAAGGCUUUGGGGAGAGUACGCGCGCAAGCGAUAAAUUUAAAGGAAAUUGACGGAGGAACACCACA